rnacentral:rRNA from 1 species
AUACGUAGGGGGCGAGCGUUGUCCGGAAUGACUGGGCGUAAAGGGCGCGUAGACGGCUGUCUAAGUCUGGAGUGAAAGUCCUGCUUUCAAGGUGGGAAUUGCUUUGGAGACUGGAUGGCUUGAGUGCGGAAGAGGUAAGUGGAAUUCCCAGUGUAGCGGUGAAAUGCGUAGAGAUUGGGAGGAACACCAGUGGCGAAGGCGACUUACUGGGCCUUUACUGACGCUGAGGCACGAAAGCGUGGGGAGCAAACAGGAUUAGAUACCCUGGUAGUCCACGCUGUAAACGAUGAUGACUAGGUGUGGGGGGACUGAACCCUUCCGUGCCGCAGUUAACACAAUAAGUCAUCCACCUGGGGAGUACGGCCGCAAGGUUGAAACUCAAAUGAAUUGACGGGG